UCUGUACUCCCUCCGUUCCAAAAUACUUGACUUCCAUUUGUCCAAAAAUGGAUGUACCUAUAUACUAAAACAUGUCUAGAUACAUAUAUAUUUUGACAAAUAGAAGGCAUGUAUUGUGCAACAGAGGGAGUAGAAU
rnacentral:pre_miRNA from 1 species